AACCACCACGAAGAAAACUCGUUAUAUCGUUCCCAAUAGUGGUCGCGGCUACAUUGCAAGCAGCGUUGAACAAAGCCAACGAAAAAGGUUGGCUGCUUUUAAGGAUAAUUACAUAUUCAGCAUCUCCGGCCCCGGCUGUCCCGAUUCCAAAUUCGAAUUCGAGAUGCUCGCAUAGCCGCUGGGAGUGCGGGCACCCUUUAGCCAAUAGGAGACGGGCGAUGGUGAGGCCUCGACAUGACAUUCCAGUUGUACGUCGGAGCCGAGCGGUGUGCCUAACAAUUGACUUGGAGCGCGUACCAUGGGGGCAACUGAGAGAAGGCAAUACAAAUGUGAAAUUAGUUGUAAAGUUUUUAAAGUUAAUUAGUAAUUAAAUAAAUAUGUAAUAAAUAA